GGAAUAUUGGACAAUGGGCGAAAGCCUGAUCCAGCAAUGCCGCGUGAGUGAUGAAGGCCUUAGGGUUGUAAAGCUCUUUUACCAGGGAUGAUGAUGACAGUACCUGGAGAAUAAGCUCCGGCUAACUCCGUGCCAGCAGCCGCGGUAAUACGGAGGGAGCUAGCGUUGUUCGGAUAUACUGGGCGUAAAGCGCACGUAGGCGGCGCCGCAAGGCAGGGGUGAAAUCCCGGGGCUCAACCCCGGAACUGCCCUUGAAACUGCAGUGCUAGAAUAUUGGAGAGGCAAGUGGAAUUCCGAGUGUAGAGGUGAAAUUCGUAGAUAUUCGGAAGAACACCAGUGGCGAAGGCGACUUGCUGGACAAUUAUUGACGCUGAGGUGCGAAAGCGUGGGGAGCAAA
rnacentral:rRNA from 1 species